rnacentral:rRNA from 1 species
GAUGAACGCUGGCGGUGUGCCUAACACAUGCAAGUCGAACGACCAGACGAUAAGCUUGCUCUCCUGCCGUUAGCGGGGGACGGAUGAGUGACACGUGGAUAACCUUCUUCUAAUUCUGGGAUGAUUACGGGAAACCGCUGCUACUACUGGCUCAUAUAUUCUACGGCAUAGUUCAAUAGUUCUUCACAGCUUUCGUGUCACUUUUAGCUGAUUCCGUGUCGCAUUAGUUAGUUGGUAAGGUAACGGCUUACCAAGGCGACGAUGCGUAGCUGACCUGAGAGGAUGAUCAGCCACACUGGAACUGAGACACGGUCCAGACUCCUACGGGAGGCAGCAGUAGGGAAUAUUGGACAAUGGGCGCAAGCCUGAUCGAGCAACGCCGCGUGAGUGAUGAAGGCCUUCGGAUUGUAAAGCUCUGUUAUUGGGGAAGAAAAGAUGUAGAAGUAAACAUGGACGUUUUGACGGUACCUAAAGAGAAAGCACCGGCUAACUUCGUG